CCUCCUGCCCGAUGACAGCUGGGAUAGGCUCCAGCACGCCCGCGACCCGAGUGAGGAGAAGCGGCUCAGAAAAUGGAUGGAUGAAAUGGUUCAGGCAGAGGCAAAAGGAAUCCGUGACAAAGUCAGUCGACAGGGGGAGAAACGUGCUUUGCUACGGGUGCCUAGCAAGCACUCCAAACUGCGCUGAUCACUUUGAACCGGCGUGUUUUGAGUAAGACUUAGCAGAAAGAAUUGGGUACAGAGUACAGAGGCAGAGGCUGAAACCAGCCGCAGUGCCAACUAUUUUUCUUCCGGCCGUCGGGACCUCCACCGCCACCAAGAGAACAAAAUCUCAUAGCCGCCACGAUGCAGCAGCGAAGCGGCGCAGACAAGAGCUUAACUCUGCCAGGGGGAUCUGCUGAGGACUCGUCUUCUAGACUCUCAUUGGUUAGCCUCCGGUCGACGGGAGACUUGAGGUGUCGUACCUGGUGAAAAUGCGCAGUGAGUGAUAGCUUGAAGAAAGUGUGGAAAGGACUUGUAUACGGUGGCUAGAAAAUUGGGUCAAGCGUCAGUCACGGUUCCUUGCAUAUUCUCAGUGCAUUCAGGUGGACCGGCCUCCCACCAACAAAACCGUUUUUUGUAUUUAUUGCCAAGAAGCAGUGUCUGGUCAAUUUCAAAUGCAUGCAGGAAGCUCUCAAGUGUCUCUGCAGAGCCGGACGCAUCGGAGAAUACGUCAGCAGCGAUCUGACAACGCAGACACGGAUGUCAAACAGAGAGAGGGGGUGGCGCUUGAUGGCAUCGAUACGUCACUACAAACAACAUCGUUAUCAGUGCCGAUACGAGUGGGCGGAGGUGAAUGAACGGCUUAGCGGAGCUCUGUGAAUACACACCUCCAUGUUUCCUCUUUCCAGUUCACACGUAAAGCAGUUCCACUCAGGGGGUCACCGAGGCAUCGCUGCAUGAGCCGGCUCGAGUGGAGUCCAGGACAGUUUCCAGAAGGCAUCGGUGUUUUCCUGGCAAAGACUCCAAACGUAUGGGUAUUCUGUGCGUCCCCCUCUUCAUCAUGACCCCCUCCCCUUCCCGCGCAAGGCUCCUUUCCUUCUCGCUAACGCUAUCAAUUGUCAUUUCCUAAUGUUGGCGUCGAGCUGAUCUGUGGCCACUGUGUGAGUGUGUCUGGCUGCAAUUUGAGCAAAACAGAGAAAAAGUCAGCUGUGAUCAGCGCAGAUGGAAAGACACCUGCUCUGUCAAAUCCUUCGUCCGUCUCAUUGCUGUCCUCGACGAAGAUCGUACAUAUGCGCGCGCCCGCACAAUGCGUUUAGUUCAGAGGAAAAACUCGGGCAUGACAUGAAGGGACGUCCUCCUCCUCCCGUUGUCCACUAUAGAUGCCCAGCGACGGAUGGGAUGGGGAGAAAUGGGCCGCAGAUAAAACCACAGUACGGAUGUCCACGUUGAUGGGUUCAAAUGGGGGCGCAGAGAAAGAGGGGGGGUACACAAAGAGCGCUCCACAUCACACAAUUCCCGAGUGGAACUAGAUGUGAUAAAUCCAGCUGAGCGGCCUCAAGCGGGGCUGAUGAGUGCCUGUGAUGAGUUUCCGUACUGUUGUGGCUGUGGACGUACGUUUGGGAUCGGAUAGGUUUAGUGUGUGUGUGACACAUCAGGUGGUAAAACACUUCUGCCUUGACUAAGAUCAUUUCAUUUUCAAAGCUGUAACCAACAGGAUAUAUACACAUUGAAUAAUGUGGCUGUGGUUGAAAUUGGACUCAAAUGAUCAGUCUUGUGACUUUACUCUGAUAACGUAUUGUGAAUAAAUGAGCCCAUCUUAUAAUCCUGUGGAACGUGUUUGAGUAUUUUCCUGAUGCCUCUCCCUGCGCUUAAUAUACUGUGCAAUGAAGCACAGCACUCUUAAGCAUGUUUCCAAGGUAACGAACGGCACGGUGACAAGUUGGACGCUGAAUUUUGAAUGGGCUUCAGAACGCCAGUGAUCGUGCCCCAUG